UAUGUGAUAACUUUUGGUUGGGGCAACCGCGAAGAAAAAAAACCCUUCGAUAAACAAAAAAAUACACAAAUUUAAAAGUUUAAAAUAAAUGAUCCGAAACCUAUCGAUCAAGGAAAAAAGUUACCGCAGGGAUAACAGCGUCAUUCUCUCUGAGAGCUCGUAUUGACGAGAGAGCUUGCGACCUCGAUGUUGGACCGGGGCACCCCGGAGGUGCAGAAGCCUCUAAAGGUAGGUCUGUUCGACCUUUAAAGCCCUACGCGAUCUGAGUUCAGCCCGACGUAAGUCAGGUCAGUUUCUAUCUA
rnacentral:rRNA from 1 species